rnacentral:rRNA from 1 species
AGAAAAGCAGGGGAUCGCAAGACCUUGCGCUUUUGGAGCGGCCGAUGUCUGAUUAGCUAGUUGGUGAGGUAAAGGCUUACCAAGGCUUCGAUCAGUAGCUGGUCUGAGAGGACGACCAGCCACACUGGGACUGAGACACGGCCCAGACUCCUACGGGAGGCAGCAGUGGGGAAUUUUGGACAAUGGGGGAAACCCUGAUCCAGCCAUGCCGCGUGAGUGAAGAAGGCCUUCGGGUUGUAAAGCUCUUUCAGCCGGAACGAAAAGGUUACGGUUAAUACCCGUGACUAAUGACGGUACCGGAAGAAGAAGCACCGGCUAACUACGUGCCAGCAGCCGCGGUAAUACGUAGGGUGCGAGCGUUAAUCGGAAUUACUGGGCGUAAAGCGUGCGCAGGCGGUUUUGUAAGUCAGAUGUGAAAUCCCCGGGCUCAACCUGGGAACNUGCGUUUGAAACUACAAAGCU